rnacentral:misc_RNA from 1 species
AAGUCGUAACAAGGUUUCCGUAGGUGAACCUGCGGAAGGAUCAUUAUUACGUAUCCACGUAUCAACCCAAUCGUGAACUUGUUUCCCGUCUGAUGAGGACUUCUGCGACCAUUUGAUUCAAUGCGUGAUGAACUGAAGGGUAGAGGAGGGUUUCGACCCGACUCUUCUUCAGCGUCAAGCGGUCGGUCCUGGAUUCUUCGGUCCAGCUCAUUGGAUGUGGUUUUCUUUCAUCAUGCGACUUAUUAACCCCUUGUACAAAUAUGAACUAAAUAAUUGCUGCCCGAUCAAAAGGGUGGUAACAAACUGAAACUAAAAACAACUCUUAACAACGGAUAUCUUGGUUCUC